GGGCAGUUAGCUUAUUUUGGUAAAGCAUAUACUUCGCAAGUGUAAUUAGAGGGUUCGAUUCCCCCACUGUCCA
rnacentral:tRNA from 1 species